rnacentral:rRNA from 1 species
UACGUAGGGGGCAAGCGUUGUCCGGAAUCAUUGGGCGUAAAGCGCGCGUAGGCGGCCCGGUAAGUCCGCUGUGAAAGUCCAGGGCUCAACCCUGGAAAGCCGGUGGAUACUGCCGGGCUAGAGUCCGGAAGAGGCGAGUGGAAUUCCUGGUGUAGCGGUGGAAUGCGCAGAUAUCAGGAGGAACACCGAUGGCGAAGGCAGCUCGCUGGGACGGUACUGACGCUGAGGCGCGAAAGCGUGGGGAGCAAACAGG